CCUGAAACGCUCCGGCGCUAUAAGAUGUGGCUGCGGCCGAUUAGGUAGACGGUGGGGUAACGGCCCACCGUGCCAGUAAUCGGUACGGAUUGUGAGAGCAAGAGCCCGGAGACGGUAUCUGAGACAAGAUACCGGGCCCUACGGGGCGCAGCAGGCGCGAAACCUUUACACUGCACGCCAGUGCGAUAAGGGGACUCCAAGUGCGAGGGCAUAUAGUCCUCGCUUUUUGCGACCGUAAGGUGGUCGCGGAAUAAAUGCUGGGCAAGACCGGUGCCAGCCGCCGCGGUAAUACCGGCAGCACGAGUGAUGACCGCUGUUAUUGGGCCUAAAGCGUCCGUAGCUGGCCGCGCAAGUCUAUCGGGAAAUCUCUCCGCUUAACGGAGAGGCGUCCGGUGGAAACUGUGUGGCUUGGGACCGGAAGACCAGAGGGGUACGUCUGGGGUAGGAGUGAAAUCCCGUAAUCCUGGACGGACCACCGGUGGCGAAAGCGCCUCUGGAAGACGGAUCCGACGGUGAGGGACAAAAGCUCGGGUCACGAACCGGAUUAGAUACCCGGGUAGUCCGAGCUGUAAACGAUGUCUGCUAGGUGUGACACAGGCUACGAGCCUGUGUUGUGCCGUAGGGAAGCCGUGAAGCAGACCGCCUGGGAAGUACGUCCGCAAGGAUGAAACUUAAAGGAAUUGGCGGGGGAGCACUACAACCGGAGGAGCCUGCGGUUUAAUUGGACUCAACGCCGGACAUCUCACCAGCAUCGACAAUGUGCAGUGACGGUCAGUAUGAUGAGCUUACCUGAGCCAUUGAGAGGAGGUGCAUGGCCGCCGUCAGCUCGUACCGUGAGGCGUCCUGUUAAGUCAGGCAACGAGCGAGACCCGCACCCUUAAUUGCCAGCAGCACCCUUGUGGUGGCUGGGUACAUUAAGAGGACUGCCAGUGCCAAACUGGAGGAAGGAACGGGCAACGGUAGGUCAGUAUGCCCCGAAUGUGCUGGGCGACACGCGGGCUACAAUGGCCAAGACAGUGGGAUGCAACGCCGAAAGGCGACGCUAAUCUCCGAAACUUGGUCGUAGUUCGGAUUGAGGGCUGAAACUCGCCCUCAUGAAGCUGGAUUCGGUAGUAAUCGCGCCUCAGAAGGGCGCGGUGAAUACGUCCCUGCUCCUUGCACACACCGCCCGUCAAAGCACCCGAGUGGGGUCCGGAUGAGGCCCGGUUUCCGGGUCGAAUCU
rnacentral:rRNA from 1 species